UACGAAGGGGCUAGCGUUGUUCGGAAUUACUGGGCGUAAAGCGCGCGCAGGCGGUUCUUCAAGUCAGAGGUGAAAGCCCAGAGCUCAACUCUGGAAUGGCCUUUGAGACUAGAGAACUAGGGUACGGGAGAGGUGAGUGGAAUUCCGAGUGUAGAGGUGAAAUUCGUAGAUAUUCGGAAGAACACCAGUGGCGAAGGCGGCUCACUGGCCCGUUACCGACGCUCAGGCGCGACAGCGUGGGGAGCAA
rnacentral:rRNA from 1 species